rnacentral:rRNA from 1 species
AGAGUUUGAUCCUGGCUCAGGAUGAACGCUAGCUACAGGCUUAACACAUGCAAGUCGAGGGGCAGCGGGGAGGAAGCUUGCUUUCUCUGCCGGCGACCGGCGCACGGGUGAGUAACGCGUAUCGAACCUGCCUCAUACUCGGGAAUAGCCUUGCGAAAGUAAGAUUAAUGCCCGAUGUUUUCAGCGGUCCGCAUGAACUGCUGAACAAAGAUUUAUCGGUAUGAGAUGGCGAUGCGUCCCAUUAGCUUGUUGGCGGGGUAACAGCCCACCAAGGCAUCGAUGGGUAGGGGUUCUGAGAGGAAGGUCCCCCACAUUGGAACUGAGACACGGUCCAAACUCCUACGGGAGGCAGCAGUGAGGAAUAUUGGUCAAUGGACGCAAGUCUGAACCAGCCAAGUAGCGUGCAGGAUGACGGCCCUCCGGGUUGUAAACUGCUUUUAGUUGGGAAUAAAGUGCAGCUCGUGAGCUGUUUUGUAUGUACCAUCAGAAAAAGGACCGGCUAAUUCCGUGCCAGCAGCCGCGGUAAUACGGAAGGUCCAGGCGUUAUCCGGAUUUAUUGGGUUUAAAGGGAGCGCAGGCGGACUCUUAAGUCAGUUGUGAAAUACGGCGGCUCAACCGUCGGACUGCAGUUGAUACUGGGAGUCUUGAGUGCACACAGGGAUGCUGGAAUUCAUGGUGUAGCGGUGAAAUGCUCAGAUAUCAUGAAGAACUCCGAUCGCGAAGGCAGGUAUCCGGGGUGCAACUGACGCUGAGGCUCGAAAGUGCGGGUAUCAAACAGGAUUAGAUACCCUGGUAGUCCGCACAGUAAACGAUGAAUACUCGCGGUUGGCGAUACAUUGUCAGCCGCCAAGCGAAAGCGUUAAGUAUUCCACCUGGGGAGUACGCCGGCAACGGUGAAACUCAAAGGAAUUGACGGGGGCCCG